rnacentral:rRNA from 1 species
UACGUAGGGUGCGAGCGUUAAUCGGAAUUACUGGGCGUAAAGUGUGCGCAGGCGGCCGCGCAAGUCGAGUGUGAAAGCCCCGGGCUUAACUUGGGAAUUGCGCUCGAAACUACGUGGCUGGAGUGUGGCAGGAGGGGGGUAGAAUUCCACGUGUAGCAGUGAAAUGCGUAGAGAUGUGGAGGAAUACCGAUGGCGAAGGCAGCCCCCUGGGACUAACA